AUUGAACGCUGGCGGCAGGCCUAACACAUGCAAGUCGAGCGAGCGGCGGACGGGUGAGUAAUGUCUGGGGACUGCCCGAUAGAGGGGGAUAACUACUGGAAACGGUGGCUAAUACCGCAUACUAUCAGAUAACCCAUAUGGGAUUAGCUAGUAGGUAGGGUAACGGCUUACCUAGGCGACGAUCCCUAGCUGGUCUGAGAGGAUGAUCAGCCACACUGGAACUGAGACACGGCCCAGACUCCUACGGAGGCAGCAGUGGGGAAUAUUGCACAAUGGGCGCAAGCCUGAUGCAGCCAUGCCGCGUGUAUGAAGAAGGCCCUAGGGUUGUAAAGCACUUUCAGCGGGGAGGCGUUACCGACAGAAGAAGCACCGGCUAACUCCGUGCCAGCAGCCGCGGUAAUUC
rnacentral:rRNA from 1 species